ACCUUGCGCUAUUGGAUGAGCCUAAAUCGGAUUAACUAGUUGGUGGGGUAAAGGCCUACCAAGGCGACGAUCCGUAACUGGUCUGAGAGGAUGAUCCCCCACGUCGGGACUGAUACGCGGCCCGAACUCCUACGGGAGGCACCAGUGGGGAAUAUUGGACAAUGGGGGCAACCCUGAUCCAGCCAUGCCGCGUGUGUGAAGAAGGCUUUCGGGUUGUAAAGCACUUUCAGCGAGGAGGAAGGCCUUAGAGUUAAUACCUUUGAGGAUUGACGUUACUCGCAUAAUAAGCACCGGCUAACUCCGUGCCACCCGCCGCGGUAAUACGGAGGGUGCAGGCGUUAAUCGGAAUUACUGGGCGUAAAGCGCGCGUAGGUGGUUAGGUAAGCGAGAUGUGAAAGCCCCGGGCUUAACCUGGGAACGGCAUUUCGAACUGUCUGACUAGAGUGUGGUAGAGGGUAGUGGAAUUUCCUGUGUACCGGUGAGAUGCGUAGAUGU
rnacentral:rRNA from 1 species